AUUCGUGCUAAGCAAGCAACCCUACCAACUGCGCUCCAUCCCCAACCCCUGGCCUCUUAUAGUUACCCUGAUGUUGGGGAGGGCCUGCCGCUGCCUCACCAAGCCCUCCGGUGAACCCGCUGAUGCAGAGGCCACCUGCCUGAGUCUUGAUCGCAGACUUGAGCUCCUGAUUCUCCCGAAUGAGCCGUACCAGCUUCUUCAGUUCCUCAUUUUCCCGCACCAGCCUCUCUAUCUGAUGCCGAAGCCCCUCGUAACUUUGACUCUUCCUUUGCACCUGAUCUCUGCUCCUUGGGUCCUGGAAUCUUCUGGAGUUUCAUUCUCUCAAGAAUCUAAAAUGAAGACGUGACGGUGAUCCAGCAGCGCUCGCUGUUUCUCUACGACUGGCCAGGGUUACGUUGACUUGGCUUAUCUGGCUGGCCAAGCAAGUAUCCCAUUCCUCCCUCACUGUUCCCUGUAUGUCCCUCCUGAAGCUGUCCACUUGGUAGAAGACAACUCUCUCCCGGGGGAGCAGUGUUCAAGUGAAGAUACACAAGUAGCUGUGUUCCUCUGCUAGGACUUCCAAACAAGACCCGGAGCCAGUCCUCCUCGACGGAUUUCAAGAGCCGGAGGACUGAGUCCUCCUGACACGCCCUUCUCUUAGAGCUUUCUAGAAAGAAUGCCAUGGGAUCUUGGGAGUCAAUGGAGGCUGGUCUUGGAGACCUCCACUGGCUCUGUGGUCAUCUUCUCUCAACACUUUCCAUAGGUCAGGGAGAGGAAGGUAAAGUCCAGUUCCAGACCAGAUUCUUGUGGGCAGAUUCUGGUAGAGUGGAGCUGAGGAAGAGGAGGGUCAGUCUAAGUUGGGUGUUCUAUCUGGACCUCACAAUGGGGGGACCUGCCCCCCUAUCUUUGACACUCUGUGCUGUAAUCUUAAGUCAUUUUGGCCUCAAAGACAAGAGUACCUGAAGACCACACAAGAGUUCUUUUCAUUAUUC